rnacentral:rRNA from 1 species
GUCGUCCUCUCAGGGUUAGUCGGGACCUAAGCCGAGAACGAAAGUUGUAGGCGAUGGACAACAGGUUGAUAUUCCUGUACCACCAAAGAUCGUUUGAGUGAUGGGGUGACACAGUAGGAUAGGUUAAGCGCACCGUUGGUUGUGUGCGUCUAAGCCCGUAGGGAGUCUAUAUAGGCAAAUCCGUAUGGACAAUCCUAAAAGGUGAUGGGGAGCGAAAUUUAAGUAGCGAACUUACUGAUUCCACACUGUCAAGAAAAGCCUCUAGCGAGAUCCUAGGUGCCCGUACCGCAAACCGACACAGGUAGGUGAGGAGAGAAUCCUAAGGCGAGCGAGAGAACUAUUGUUAAGGAACUCGGCAAAAUGACCCCGUAACUUCGGGAGAAGGGGUGCCACGUUAGGGUGUUAAAGCCCGAGGUGGCCGCAGAGAAUAGGCCCAAGCGACUGUUUAGCAAAAACACAGGUCUCUGCUAAGUCGAAAGACGAUGUAUAGGGGCUGACGCCUGCCCGGUGCUGGAAGGUUAAGGGGACGUGUUAACGUAAGUGAAGCACUGAACUUAAGCCCCAGUAAACGGCGGCCGUAACUAUAACGGUCCUAAGGUAGCGAAAUUCCUUGUCGGGUAAGUUCCGACCCGCACGAAAGGCGUAACGAUUUGGGCACUGUCUCAACAAUAGACUCGGUGAAAUUGUAGUACCAGUGAAGAUGCUGGUUACCCGCAGCAGGACGGAAAGACCCCGUGGAGCUUUACUGUAGCCUGACAUUGGAUUUCGGUAUUGCAUGUACAGGAUAGGUGGGAGACUUGGAUACAUGGACGCCAGUCUGUGUGGAGUCGACGUUGGGAUACCACUCUUGUAAUACUGAAGUUCUAACCAUAGACAGUUACCCUGUCUUGGGACAUUGUCAGGUGGGCAGUUUGACUGGGGCGGUCGCCUCCCAAAAAGUAACGGAGGCGCCCAAAGGUUCCCUCAGCGCGGUCGGAAAUCGCGCGUAGAGUGUAAAGGCACAAGGGAGCUUGAUUGCGAGACAUACAGGUCGAGCAAGGACGAAAGUCGGGCUUAGUGAUCCGGUGGUUCCGAGUGGAAGGGCCAUCGCUCAACGGAUAAAAGCUACCCCGGGGAUAACAGGCUUAUCUCCCCCAAGAGUCCACAUCGACGGGGAGGUUUGGCACCUCGAUGUCGGCUCGUCUCAUCCUGGGGCUGAAGUAGGUCCCAAGGGUUGGGCUGUUCGCCCAUUAAAGAGGCACGCGAGCUGGGUUCAGAACGUCGUGAGACAGUUCGGUCCCUAUCCGCUGUGGGCGCAGGAAAUUUGAGAGGAGCUGUCCUUAGUACGAGAGGACCGGGAUGGACAUACCUCUGGUGUAUCAGUUGUCGCGCCAGCGGCACGGCUGAGUAGCUAUGUAUGGACGGGAUAAGCGCUGAAGGCAUCUAAGCGCGAAGCCUCCCUCAAGAUGAGAUUUCCCACUUUUU